rfam:Enterococcus hirae ATCC 9790, complete genome.
GGGGACGUUACGGAUUCGACAGGCACAGUUUGAGCUUGAAUUGCGUUUCGUAGGUUACGUCUACGUUAAAACGUUACAGUUAAAUAUAACUGCUAAAAACGAAAACAACUCUUACGCUUUAGCUGCCUAAAAACAGUUAGCGUAGAUCCUCUCGGCAUCGCCCAUGUGCUCGAGUAAGGGUCUCAAAUUUAGUGGGAUACGUGACAACUUUCCGUCUGUAAGUUGUUAAAGAGAUCAUCAGACUAGCGAUACAGAAUGCCUGUCACUCGGCAAGCUGUAAAGCGAAACCACAAAUGAGUUGACUAUGAACGUAGAUUUUUAAGUGGCGAUGUGUUUGGACGCGGGUUCGACUCCCGCCGUCUCCAUUG